rnacentral:rRNA from 1 species
GACGAACGCUGGCGGCGUGCUUAACACAUGCAAGUCGAACGGACAGGCCCUGCUCUUGUGGGGUGCUCGUGUGGCGAAGGGGUGAGUAACACGCGAGUAACCUGCCCUUGACUUUGGGAUAACAUCAGGAAACUGGGGCUAAUACCGGAUAGGAGCUCCUGCUGCAUGGUGGGCGUUGGAAAGAUUCGGCGGUUGGGGAUCGACUCGCGGCUUAUCAGCUUGUUGGUGGGGUAGUGGCUUACCAAGGCUUUGACGGGUAGCCGGCCUGAGAGGGUGACCGGCCACAUUGGGACUGAGAUACGGCCCAGACUCCUACGGGAGGCAGCAGUGGGGAAUAUUGCACAAUGGGCGGAAGCCUGAUGCAGCAACGCCGCGUGCGGGAUGACGGCCUUCGGGUUGUAAACCGCUUUCGCCUGUGACGAAGCGUGAGUGACGGUAAUGGGUAAAGAAGCACCGGCUAACUACGUG